rnacentral:lncRNA from 1 species
CAAGGUUUUUUAUUCAUUAAAUCCAGGAAUUUUAAUCAAUUCGUGUCAGGACCAUGAAAAUAAUUCGUUAAAUCGUGAAAUUCAUUAAUUCCGGGUUCAUUAAAUCAGAGCUCGACUGUAAUUCAUUUACCAUAGAUAUAAUGCUUAUGAAGAAACAGUAUGAUUUUGUAUUUGGCAAUGCAAAAAUGGCAUGAUUUUUUUGGUGCAGAGGAAGAGAAGAAAAACAACAUUUUUGACAAUUUUUGCUAUUUUCAAACUGAUUUAAUUCUUUUAUUAAUUGGAUUUAAAGCUUCAAAUUUGUCAAUCUACAUUUUAUUAAAUACUUUUCUGAAAUCUGUAAAUGCCAGAUUAAUAAUAAUCGUCAUGAAUCAAAGUUAUAUAACAAGUUGAAUUUUGGCUGAAAUGAUUCCUUUAAUGAGAUAAUUGAUGAAUACUAUAUCUAGAUUAGAAUCAUUUCUUUAUUUCUUGAUACAUAAUAUUUAUAUACUUAAGAACUAAAAGUUCCAUAAAUUUCAAAUUUUGCAUCUUAUUAUAUAUCAUUCCUGAGAUGAUUUUACAACUGCUUUGUUUACAUUAUGAACUGUCUU